rnacentral:rRNA from 1 species
UGAUACUAAGCCAUGCGAGUCAUUGCAGUAAUGCAAGGCAGACGGCUCAGUAACGCGUAGUCAACCUACCCUAUGGACGGGAAUAACCUCGGGAAACUGAGUAUAAUGCCCGAUAGAACACUAUUCCUGGAAUGGUUUGUGUUCCAAAUGAUUUAUCGCCGUAGGAUGGGACUGCGGCCUAUCAGUUUGUUGGUGAGGUAAUGGCCCACCAAGACUAUUACAGGUACGGGCUCUGAGAGGAGUAGCCCGGAGAUGGGCACUGAGACACGGACCCAGGCCCUAUGGGGCGCAGCAGGCGAGAAAACUUUGCAAUGUGCGAAAGCACGACAAGGUUAAUCCGAGUGGUUUGUGCUAAACGAACCUUUUGACAGUCCUAGAAACACUGUUGAAUAAGGGGUGGGCAAGUUCUGGUGUCAGCCGCCGCGGUAAAACCAGCACCUCAAGUGGUCAGGAUGAUUAUUGGGCCUAAAGCAUCCGUAGCCGGCUCUGUAAGUUUUCGGUUAAAUCUGUACGCUCAACGUACAGGCUGCCGGGAAUACUGCAGAGCUAGGGAGUGGGAGAGGUAGACGGUACUCGGUAGGAAGGGGUAAAAUCCUUUGAUCUAUUGAUGACCACCUGUGGCGAAGGCGGUCUACCAGAACACGUCCGACGGUGAGGGAUGAAAGCUGGGGGAGCAAACCGGAUUAGAUACCCGGGUAGUCCCAGCUGUAAACUAUGCAAACUCAGUGAUGCAUUGGCUUGUGGCCAAUGCAGUGCUGCAGGGAAGCCGUUAAGUUUGCCGCCUGGGAAGUACGUACGCAAGUAUGAAACUUAAAGGAAUUGGCGGGGGAGCACCACAAGGGGUGAAGCCUGCGGUUCAAUUGG